AUGCUCUGCGGGGCGUGCAGCAGGGCCGGGCUGCGGGAGCCGGGGCGCCCCGCAGCGCUGCGGGACGGCUGCGGGACGGCCGCGGGGCGGGCAGGAGCGGGACCCGCCGGGGCAGCCCCGGCCCCGCUCUUAUUUUGGUUGGGAGCGGGCGGCGCGGCCCCGGCUGGAGCGCGGAGGGAGGCGAACUGUGCUCCUCUGUUCGGUUUCGGCAACCAACGCCAGGCUGGCAAAAAUGCACCCUCUGUGGACAAUGGCCCGGCCUUCCUGCUCGCCUCGCUCCUCUUCUUCCUCCCCGAGCCAAAGAAACUUUCCAGACCCCCCCCCCCCGGCCCCUCCUGCAUCUCCCCCGGGGCAGGCUCCGAGAGCAGCCCCACCGGCACCGGGCCGGGCCCGGGGGAGGCAGGAGGGGGGUCCCCAGCCGGGCUGCGGGUGCUUUGGGGGGGGCUGCCCCCAUUGCACCGGGCUGAGGAUGCUCUGGGGGGCUGCUGCGGUCCCCGGUCCCCCCAGGGUGUCCCCAGCCGUGUCCCGUGCUGGGUGGUGAGGGAAAGCCCGGUGGCACCCCCAGGCUGGGCAUCCCCUCGGCCUGGAGGCGAGCAAGGCGCUGGAGAGCCCUGGGGGUGUUUGGGGAGGGAGAGGAGCCACCUUCCUCCUGCCGCCAGCCCAGCUCGACCCCAAAAACUGGAGAGGGCCGGAGGGGGCCAGAGGGCCGUGCCCCCGGGCGCUUCGGCUGAGCCCUUCCCGGGGCGCUGCUCGCCUCCACCGGCCGCGAUCGCUGCAGGAAAGAAGAAAACAACCAUUAGCUGCAUCGCCCAGGGACGGGGAGCUUGCUCUCGCUUUUAUUUCUAUUUUCUACACGUUGUCCCGCACAGCUCCCCGGUGCGGGCUUUGGGAAGUGCCCGCUGCAAUCCCCUUUGCCUGCCGGAGGGGCUCGGCCGCCUCCCCUCGCUCCUCUCCACCUGCUCCUGGGCCAGCCCCAAAAGCCCCGUCGUGGGGCGCUCCUUUAGCGGCCGGGCGCUGGGAAAGUAAAAGGCAAACUCCAGUCGCGCCCGGGUCUGGCUCCGAGGAUUCAAUAAACAAGCCGCAUUAACUCCA
rnacentral:lncRNA from 1 species